CGGGGGACAACACUGGGAAACCGGUGCUAAUACCCCAUAUGUCCUUCGGGAUGAAAGCUCUGGCGCCUUGAGAUGGGCCUGCGGCUGAUUAGCUAGUUGGUGGGGUAAAUGCCUACCAAGGCGACGAUCAGUAGCUGGUUUGAGAGGAUGAUCAGCCACAAUGGAACUGAGACACGGUCCAUACUCCUACGGGAGGCAGCAGUAGGGAAUUUUGCCGCAAUGGGCGAAAGCCUUGACGCAGCAAACACCGCGUGAGUGAUUGAAGCUUUUCGGAGUGUAAAACUCUGUCAGUUGGGGACGAAAAAUUGACGGUCCCCACAAAGGAAGCACCGGCUAACUCCGUGCCAGCAGCCGCGGUAAGACGGAGGGUGCAAGCGUUGUCCGGAAUUAUUGGGCGUAAAGCGUACGUAGGCGGCAUGUCAAGUCUGAUGUAAAAGCCCGGAGCUCAACUCCGGUUAGGCAUUGGAUACUGGCAAGCUAAGAGUACAGAAGAGGCAAGGGGAAUUCCUAGUGUAGCGGUGAAAUGCGUAGAUAUUAGGAGGAACACCGGUGGCGUAAGCGCCUUGUUGGUCUGUAACCUGACGCUGAGGAACGAAGGCCAGGGUAGCAAAUGGGUUAGAUACCCCAGUAAGUCUGGCCGUAAACCGAUGGAUAACUAGGUGUUGCAGGUAUCGACCCCUGCAGUGCUGCAGUUAACGCAAUAGGUAUCCCGGCUGGGGAGUACGCACGCGAGUUUGAACUCCAGAGGAAUUGACGCGGAUCCGGCACAAGCCGGUGGCCCUUGUGGUGUAAUUCGAGGCACGCGAAGAACCUUACCAGGGCUUGAAUUCCUGAGAACCUUGCCAGAGAUGGAUUGGUGCCCUUCGGGGGAACUCAGUGACAGGUGGUGCACGGUUGUCGUCAGCUCGUGUCGUGAGAUGUUUGGGUUAAGUCCCGCAAACGAGCGCAACCCACGUUGUUAGUUGCCUGUAAGAACCUGUUCUUGCAGUGCUCUCUUAGCGAGACUGCCGGUGAUAAACCGGAGGAAGGUGUGGACGACGUCAAAUCAUCAUGCCCCUUAUGUCCUGGGCUACACACGUGUUACAAUGGGUGGGACAACGAGCAGCCAAUCAGCGAUGAUGAGCAAAUCUCUUAGACCUACUCUCAGUUCGGAUCGUAGUCUGCAACUCGACUACGUGAAGUCGGAAUCGCUAGUAACCGUAGAUCAGCA
rnacentral:rRNA from 1 species